AUUGAACGCUGGCGGCAGGCCUAACACAUGCAAGUCGAGCGAGCGGCGGACGGGUGAGUAAUGUCUGGGGAACUGCCCGAUAGAGGGGGAUAACUACUGGAAACGGUGGCUAAUACCGCAUACUAUCGGAUGUACCCACAUGGGAUUAGCUAGUAGGUGGGGUAAUGGCUAACCUAGGCGACGAUCCCUAGCUGGUCUGAGAGGAUGAUCAGCCACACUGGGACUGAGACACGGCCCAGACGCCUACGGGAGGCAGCAGUGGGGAAUAGUGCACAAUGGGCGCAAGCCUGAUGCAGCCAUGCCGCGUGUAUGAAGAAGGCCUUCGGGUUGUAAAGUACGUUCAGCGGGGAGGCGUUACCCGCAGAAGAAGCACCGGCUAACUCCGUGCCAGCAGCCGCGGUAAUUC
rnacentral:rRNA from 1 species